rnacentral:rRNA from 1 species
AGCGGCGGACGGGUGAGUAACGCGUGGGUAACCUGCCCUGUACACACGGAUAACAUACCGAAAGGUAUGCUAAUACGAGAUAAUAUGCUUUUAUCGCAUGGUGGAAGUAUCAAAGCUUUUGCGGUACAGGAUGGACCCGCGUCUGAUUAGCUAGUUGGUAAGGUAACGGCUUACCAAGGCGACGAUCAGUAGCCGACCUGAGAGGGUGAUCGGCCACAUUGGAACUGAGACACGGUCCAAACUCCUACGGGAGGCAGCAGUGGGGAAUAUUGCGCAAUGGGCGAAAGCCUGAUGCAGCAACGCCGCGUGAGCGAUGAAGGCCUUCGGGUCGUAAAGCUCUGUCCUCAAGGAAGAUAAUGACGGUACUUGAGGAGGAAGCCCCGGCUAACUACGUGCCAGCAGCCGCGGUAAUACGUAGGGGGCUAGCGUUAUCCGGAAUUACUGGGCGUAUAGGGUGCGUAGGUGGUUUCUUAAGUCAGAGGUGAAAGGCUACGGCUCAACCGUAGUAAGCCUUUGAAACUGGGAAACUUGAGUGCAGGAGAGGAGAGUGGAAUUCCUAGUGUAGCGGUGAAAUGCGUAGAUAUUAGGAGGAACACCAGUUGCGAAGGCGGCUCUCUGGACUGUAACUGACACUGAGGCACGAAAGCGUGGGGAGCAAACAGGAUUAGAUACCCUGGUAGUCCACGCCGUAAACGAUGAGUACUAGCUGU